AGUUUCUUCUCUCUAAAUAUUCAUGUUAUCUUUCAGAGUUCCAAGCGGCUAAGAUUAAACUAUUCAUCGUUCUAUUUCUCCUUCUCUCAAUACAAAACUCUAAUCUCACCAUCUCACCAUCUCUCCUUCUCCGCGUCUCAUAUCCUCUCCUUUUCUUUUUCUCAAAUCAAUUGAAAAUCCAAAGGAUUCGUACUAUAACCCGAAUUUCACUUCUCUCUACGCUCUCUUCUCCGGAAUCAGCCUCGCCGUUCUUGCCGUAAUGGGCCAGAACCUCGCCUUGAACAUCGCCGAGAAAAGCUUCCCAAUAUCUGUCUAUAACCGAACAACAUCCAUAGUCGACGAAACCCUAGAACGCGCCGCCGUCGAAGGAAACCUCCCGGUCUCCGGCCAAUACUCCCCACGCGACUUCGUCCUCUCACUCCGAGUUCAUUAGCAGAUCUAAAGUUUCCAGAUUGUAAUGUUAUCUGAUAUGUUUUGUCCUAUGUUUUCAGUCUGUUAGAGUUCUUCUGUUUAUUCCGAGUUGUCAUCAGCUUUCAAGGCGUGAGAGGACGAUGGCAGGACAACGAUGGUGUUGACAGAACAAAGAUGAAGAGGGUGUGCAGAGGACGCCUCCAUCUCAGAUAAGUAGCUUGUCUUCUAUUUGAGUUAGAUUUAAAAACCGUUUGAUAAUAUAUAUGUUAUCUUUGUUGUUGUUGAGUUUUGAAAAAUGUUGUUUAUUGUAUUUUGUUGCAGAGGCAAUGUUGACGGUCGAGAACUUGCUUGCAGCUCAAUGUUAUGAUCCUUGAAGACGAGGAAUUGCCAUCACUAUACAGAGCGAUUACUAUAGAGGAGCAGUUGGUGGGAUGCUUGUCAUCAUCCUCAUUGGUGCUUUUAUGAAGGGUCGUGGUGUGGGUGUUUCUGGAGUGGGCAGAACAAUAUUCCCAUUGCUACAGCAUCGAAAGGCAACUUCGAAGGGGCCUGCCAAAAAGUUGGCAACGCUUCAAAAACAAGAUGGAGAUGAUUUCAAGGAGAGUGUUGAAGGAGACUGACUUUAGCUGUUCUGAUGGCAUAGCCCAAAACAAGGCAA